rnacentral:rRNA from 1 species
CGAACUCAGAAGUGAAACGCCGUAGCGCCGAUGGUAGUGUGGGGCUUCCCCAUGUGAGAGUAGGGAACUGCCAGGC